UGCUUUUUAUUUUAUUCUAAACAGAGUUAAAUGCCCGGAUAGUCCCUGUGGUUUGGCAUUUUUUCACUUUUAGUCCCUAACUUUCUAAAAUUACAGCUAUAGUCCUCAACGUUUUCAAUUUCGUUCCUGGAUGGUCCCUAGCACGAAUGGAGGUUAGUCUUUUCAGUUAAAUGAGUCUGAAAUGACCUAAAUACCCUUACUAUUAAAAAAUAAAAUUUAAAUCAAUAACCACCUUCAAUCAAAACAUACCUCUUCUUCCUCAUAUUCAUAUUCAUCUUCAAUCCAAACACACCUCUUCUUCCUAAUUCUUCACCACCACCACCAUCCACCUUUCACCACCGUACCCCAUCCUUCACUCCAAAUUACCGCUACCCCAUUAGUCGUAUCACCUGUAUGUAAUUCUUUUUCCAUGAUAAUGAUCAUGGGCAUUAUUCAAUCAAAUUAACAGUAGACCCCUUCACAUACAUGCCCACAUGUUUUCUUUAUAUCCAUAACAUGUGAAUUGGUGUGCAACAUGAGUAGUGUGUUCUCUAAUUGCGGAAAUCCAACAAGCUAUUCUACCUUCUCGCGAAGGUGAAACUAUAAUUAAGUCAAUCAUACAAUUAAGAAUCUAAAUAGUAGUGAUGCAACGAAAAAAAACAGGAUUCUUUAUAAGUUUAGAGCAUAAAUGGAGAAUUAGGGGGUCUUAUAGCUUAUUUUCUAUCAUUUGA
rnacentral:lncRNA from 1 species